rnacentral:rRNA from 1 species
AACGCUGGCGGCAUGCCUUACACAUGCAAGUCGAACGGCAGCACGGGAGCAAUCCUGGUGGCGAGUGGCGAACGGGUGAGUAAUACAUCGGAACGUGUCCUGGAGUGGGGGAUAGCCCGGCGAAAGCCGGAUUAAUACCGCAUACGCUCUGUGGAGGAAAGGGGGGGAUCUUCGGACCUCUCGCUCAAGGGGCGGCCGAUGGCAGAUUAGCUAGUUGGUGGGGUAAAGGCCUACCAAGGCGACGAUCUGUAGCUGGUCUGAGAGGACGACCAGCCACACUGGGACUGAGACACGGCCCAGACUCCUACGGGAGGCAGCAGUGGGGAAUUUUGGACAAUGGGCGCAAGCCUGAUCCAGCAAUGCCGCGUGUGUGAAGAAGGCCUUCGGGUUGUAAAGCACUUUUGUCCGGAAAGAAAACCUCGUGGUUAAUACCCGUGGGGGAUGACGGUACCGGAAGAAUAAGCACCGGCUAACUACGUGCCAGCAGCCGCGGUAAUACGUAGGGUGCAAGCGUUAAUCGGAAUUACUGGGCGUAAAGCGUGCGCAGGCGGUCCGCUAAGACAGAUGUGAAAUCCCCGGGCUUAACCUGGGAACUGCAUUUGUGACUGGCGGGCUAGAGUAUGGCAGAGGGGGGUAGAAUUCCACGUGUAGCAGUGAAAUGCGUAGAGAUGUGGAGGAAUACCGAUGGCGAAGGCAGCCCCCUGGGCCAAUACUGACGCUCAUGCA